rnacentral:tRNA from 1 species
AGGGUUGUAGCUCAAUUGGUAGAGUGUUUGCCUAGCAUGAGCAAAGUCCUGGGUUCAAUUCUCAACCCUG